GCCUGAGUGGCUCAGUGGUUGAGCGUCUGCCUUCAGCUCAGGGUGUGAUCCUGGGAUUAGGGAUCAAGUCCCACAUCAGGCU
rnacentral:tRNA from 1 species